UAGCGAAAGCGAGUUUUAACUGAGCGUUCAGUUACUUGACGUAGACCCGAAACCGGGCGACCUACCCAUGAGCAGGAUGAAGCGAAAGUAAAAUUUCGUGGAGGUCCGAACCCACGAGCGUUGAAAAGCUCGGGGAUGACUUGUGGGUAGCGGUGAAAUUCCAAUCGAGCCCGGAGAUAGCUGGUUCUCCCCGAAAUAGCUUUAGGGCUAGCCUCAAGGUGAGAGAUACGGAGGUAGAGCACUGAAUGUCCUAGGGGGUAUUGCACCUACCGAAGACUAUCAAACUCCGAAUGCCGUCAUCUUAUACUUGGGAGUCAGACUGUGGGUGAUAAGAUUCAUAGUCGAAAGGGCAACAGCCCAGAUCGUCAGCUAAGGUCCCUAAAUGUAAGUUAAGUGGUAAAGGAUGUGGGAUUGCACAGACAACCAGGAUGUUGGCUUAGAAGCAGCCACUCAUUCAAAGAGUGCGUAAUAGCUCACUGGUCGAGUGAUCCUGCGCCGAAGAUUUCCGGGGCUAAAACUUACUACCGAAGCUACGGCAUCAGUAAUGAUGGGUAGGGGAGCUUCCCAUACGGGUUGAAGCAUGACCGUAAGGACAUGUGGACAGUAUGGGAGUGAGAAUGUUGGCAUGAGUAGCGAGAUGUGGGUGAGAAUCCCACAGGCCGUAAACCCAAGGUUUCCAGGGGAAGGUUCGUCCGCCCUGGGUUAGUCGGGACCUAAGCUGAGGCCGAAAGGCGUAGGUGAUGGACAACAGGUUGAUAUUCCUGUAC
rnacentral:rRNA from 1 species